AUUGAACGCUGGCGGCAUGCUUUACACAUGCAAGUCGAACGGUAACAGGCCUUCGGGUGCUGACGAGUGGCGAACGGGUGAGUAAUGCAUCGGAACGUACCCAGAGGUGGGGGAUAACGCAGCGAAAGCUGUGCUAAUACCGCAUGUGAUCUGAGGAUGAAAGCGGGGGACCGAGCAGCAAUGUUUGGCCUCGCGCCUUUGGAGCGGCCGAUGUCGGAUUAGCUAGUUGGUGGGGUAAAGGCCUACCAAGGCGACGAUCCGUAGCUGGUCUGAGAGGACGACCAGCCACACUGGGACUGAGACACGGCCCAGACUCCUACGGGAGGCAGCAAUGGGGAAUUUUGGACAAUGGGCGCAAGCCUGAUCCAGCAAUGCCGCGUGCGGGAAGAAGGCCUUCGGGUUGUAAAGCGCUUUUGGCAGGAACGAAACGGUGUCCGCUAAUACCGGGCGCUAAUGACGGUACCUGCAGAAUAAGCACCGGCUAACUACGUG
rnacentral:rRNA from 1 species